GAUGAACGCUGGCGGCGUGCCUAAUACAUGCAAGUCGAGCGGACUGAUUAGAAGCUUGCUUCUAUGACGUUAGCGGCGGACGGGUGAGUAACACGUGGGCAACCUGCCUGUAAGACUGGGAUAACUACGGGAAACCGAAGCUAAUACCGGAUAGGAUCUUCUCCUUCAUGGGAGAUGAUUGAAAGAUGGUUUCGGCUAUCACUUACAGAUGGGCCCGCGGUGCAUUAGCUAGGUGGUGAGGUAACGGCUCCCCAAGGCAACGAUGCAUAGCCGACCUGAGAGGGUGAUCGGCCACACUUGGACUGAAACACGGCACAGACUCCUACGGGAGGCAGCAGUAGGAAAUCUUCCGCAAUGGACGAAAGACUGACGGAGCAACGCCGCGUGAGUGAUGAAGGCUUUCGGGUCGUAAAACUCUGUUGUUAGGGAAGAACAAGUACAAGAGUAACUGCUUGUACCUUGACGGUACCUAACCAGAAAGCCACGGCUAACUACGUGCCAGCCGCCGCCGUAAAAC
rnacentral:rRNA from 1 species